rnacentral:rRNA from 1 species
GACGAAGGAUGCAAGCGUUAUCCGGAUUCAUUGGGUUUAAAGGGAGCGUAGGUGGCCUUAUAAGUCAGUGGUGAAAUCUCGCAGCUUAACUGCGAAAUUGCCAUUGAUACUGUAGGGCUUGAGUAUAGUUGCCGUUGGCGGAAUAUGACAUGUAGUGGUGAAAUACAUAGAGAUGUCAUAGAACACCGAUUGCGAAGGCAGCUAACGAAACUAUAACUGACACUGAGGCUCGAAAAGUGCGGGGAUCAAACAGG